rnacentral:lncRNA from 1 species
CUGCAAUGAGCAUGGAAGAGAGCAGGGUAGCACGUGUACCAUGUAUUUGUCAUAAGAAUAGAUUGUGAAGUAAUAGAAGAUGGGGUGCAGGCUCAGCUUUAUCACUUUCUAGCUAGAAGUUAAACCUUGUGCUUAAUUUUCAGAGCUUCAGUUUUCCCAUACAUACUAUGGGAAUUUUACCUCUUGGUUAUUUUUUGGAAUGGUAAAGUUCUUAUCAAGGUAUCCGGCAUGUUGAAAUUUCUCAAUAAAUGGAAACGACCCAGACAUAUCACUGAGGGAUGUGGCAUCACAGAAAUAUCACUGAGGCCAAGGAAAAAAGGAACCUCUGAGGUGGGCAGAGCAGGUACGAUGGCCACCACUAGGCAGAGGAGGGAAGUCAGAAUCCAGGAAGGUGAUGUGACUACCUCAGAAUCACCCCACAAAAUAAGGAAGAGCGGAAGAAAAAAGCAUCUUUCUGUAGCUCCAGCAGAAGUCCCAGAGGAGAGUCAGCCUGGUCCACUGAACCACGCCUGCGGCUGCGUCAGCUCCAUGCGAACCACAUGGAUUGAGCAGGAUUACUGUGCAGUUGCGAGAGCUGGUUCCCCCAAGGGCAGGCUGGAAGUGCCAGAGAGCUAGUGACCCCAGAAGCAGCCCUCAAUUGAUGACUGAUGAGAGUUUGUGGAUAAAUACCCAGCUUCCUCACUCCUGAGACGGGUCAACUCUGAGACGUGUUCUUUUCGUCGGGCCCCAACAAGCUUGAGUCCCAGUUGCCUACAGAG